CUGUGACUCUGACAGGUGACAUCUGUUGCAUGAUGUAUUAUUGGACAACAGUCCUCACUCUUAUUAUUACUUAUUGGGCAUAUUGCAGUGCCCAGCGUCUCCUGACACAGCCAUCUUCAAUGUCAGUGUCACCUGGGGAAACUGUUAAACUGUCCUGUACCAUGAGUGGGGGCACUUUGUACAACACUGCCUGGUACCAGCAAAAACCAGGAACUGCUCCACGAUACCUUGUAUAUUACUACUCUGAUACUGAUAAGCACAAAGGAGAUGGUGUCCCUGACAGGUUCUCUGCAACAAAAGAUGCUUCCAAAACAAUUGCUACUUUGACCAUCACCAGUGUGCAGAAUGAGGAUGAUGCUGAUUAUUACUGUGCUAAUGAAGACGGCAGCUACAGUCCGCUAUACACAGUGAUACAGUCACAGAGGGAAGUGAGACACAAACCAUCCACAUCAGUGAGACUGUACAGCUGUACUACAGACAGAGGUUAG